UACGUAGGGUGCAAGCGUUGUCCGGAAUCAUUGGGCGUAAAGAGCUCGUAGGCGGUCUGUCGCGUCUGCUGUGAAAACCUGGGGCUUAACCCUGGGCUUGCAGUGGGUACGGGCAGACUAGAGUGCGGUAGGGGAGACUGGAAUUCCUGGUGUAGCGGUGAAAUGCGCAGAUAUCAGGAGGAACACCGGUGGCGAAGGCGGGUCUCUGGGCCGUAACUGACGCUGAGGAGCGAAAGCAUGGGUAGCGAACAGG
rnacentral:rRNA from 2 species